ACAGCAGCCGCCGCGGUAAUACAGAGGGUGCGAGCGUUAAUCGGAUUUACUGGGCGUAAAGCGUGCGUAGGCGGCUUCUUAAGUCGGAUGUGAAAUCCCUGAGCUUAACUUAGGAAUUGCAUUCGAUACUGGGAAGCUAGAGUAUGGGAGAGGAUGGUAGAAUUCCAGGUGUAGCGGUGAAAUGCGUAGAGAUCUGGAGGAAUACCGAUGGCGAAGGCAGCCAUCUGGCCUAAUACUGACGCUGAGGUACGAAAGCAUGGGGAGCAAACAGGAUUAGAUACCCGGGUAGUCCCUGUCUCUUAUAC
rnacentral:rRNA from 1 species